CCUGCUCCUAGAGGGGUUGCAGAUGUGGCUGCUGUGUCACAUGUGUCAUAGGUGGCAAACAGGAAAGAGGCUAUGUCUAUGUUCAGUGUGCUAACAGGCAAACAUGUGAAUGAUUAGUAGCCUCACACU